CGACCCUAAUAUUAAAAUUUAUUUACAAAUUUACCCGUCCAAUCAAACAUAAUUUUCUUGAGGGGGGUCGAUUGUUUACUCUACCUUCCAAGUAGAUUCGCUCUUAUUACAAUGCUACUAUACAGUCUAUACUUCAACAAUUUUAGGCUGACGAUAUAUUCAGACCGUAGGGUACAUACCCUAAAGAUCUAUGUUACUGUACCCUGAUAGCAUAGUCCAGCAAAAUUCUUUAUUUUAUUUUUGUUAAUUUUAUUGGGGUUCAUGUGCUAAUCUGAUUCGCCGUGAUAAUUAUUUGAUCAAAUGAUGGUCCCCCCAUCACCGUUCAUCACUUAGCAUGUCAGUCUGUCACCCAAGGGUAAUAGAAUAGUAUUGGUGGACUUCAAAUGGGAAUUGAAUUCAGUUUAGACUUUGCACGGAAACUGACUGGUAAAAAAUAUUGACCAAUUGUCGUGCAACACGUUGGACGACAAGUGGGUCACGCAGGUAAAUGCCAGAGUAUUUGGACGGUUUCGCGAAUUGGUUACGUCGCAUCACGCUGGUUACGUGACUAUGGUUUGUUAGGUUGGGAUGGAACGUUGCGGGGUUGAUGACGUCAUAAACCGUCACACUCACGUCUUAAUCAAAAAUUUUUGAACAUAAUUUUUAUUUUUUUAUUUGCAGAUAAUUCGAAGUUGUUCUUAUCAAUUUCGUCAGUUUAAUAGACUACAUCUGCAAAUAAAAAUUGCUGUAAAAUUACACAAAUAAUACAAAAACACAUGAAGAAUAUUCUUUCAAAAUUUGAGAAUUAUCGUGUGGGUAUAUAUGGCGGGGUGUGUGUCUA
rnacentral:lncRNA from 1 species